GACGAACGCUGGCGGCGUGCUUAACACAUGCAAGUCGAACGGAAAGGCCCCCAUCUUGGUGGGGGUGCUCGAGUGGCGAACGGGUGAGUAACACGUGGGUGAUCUGCCCUGUACUUCGGGAUAAGCUUGGGAAACUGGGUCUAAUACCGGAUAGGACCAUGGUUUAGUGUCUCAUGGUGGAAAGAUUAUUGUUUUGGUGCAGGAUGAGCUCGCGGCCUAUCAGCUUGUUGGUGGGGUAAUGGCCUACCAAGGCGUCGACGGGUAGCCGGCCUGAGAGGGUGGACGGCCACAUUGGGACUGAGAUACGGCCCAGACUCCUACGGGAGGCAGCAGUGGGGAAUAUGACACAAUGGGCGCAAGCCUGAUGCAGCGACGCCGCGUGGGGGAUGACGGCCUUCGGGUUGUAAACUCCUUUCGUUAGGGACGAAGCCACGCUUGUGGGGUGUGGUGACGGUACCUUUGUUAAGAAGCACCGGCUAACUACGUG
rnacentral:rRNA from 1 species